rnacentral:piRNA from 1 species
UCCCAUGAUGCUCUCUUUCCUGAUGCUACC